rnacentral:rRNA from 1 species
GCAACGGAUAUCUAGGCUCCCGCAUCGAUGAAGAACGUAGCGAAAUGCGAUACUUGGUGUGAAUUGCAGAAUCUCGUGAACCAUCGAGUUUUUGAA